rnacentral:tRNA from 6 species
GGGCCUAUAGUGAAACGGUAUCACGCGACCAUGGCAUGGUUGAAGUCGGGGCUCGACUCCCCGUAGGUCCACUA